AAUCUACUCCCUCCGUCCGGAAAUACUUGUUGGAGGAAUAGAUAUAUUUAUUCGUAUUUUAGUUUUAGAUGCUUCCAUUUUUAUCUAUUUCUGCGACAAGUAUUUUCGGACGGAGGGAGUACAUG
rfam:Triticum aestivum genome assembly, contig: Triticum_aestivum_CS42_TGACv1_scaffold_556618_7AL